rnacentral:rRNA from 1 species
AUGUGCAAGUACCGCGUCGGGGAGACGCCGGAUGGGCGGCUUUGCUUGGUCACGGACGGCCAGCAGCAGUUGCAUCUCUGGGUGCGCGGGGAGGGCAGGUCCAGCGACAACGGUUGGCUUCUGGAGAGGAGGAUCGUGGACUUGAGCGCGCUGUGCGACAUGAUUCCUGGCAUGCCCAGCAACCGGAUGCUCAGGACCCAUUGCAUCUGGCCCACCGACAUGGACGCCGGUCGCACAGGGAAGGUGUUCAUCAAGACCUGGGGAUUUGGGCGCUACACGUACGAUCUGCACACCGGCAAGAUGGAGCGCCUGCCGACGAGAAGCGGCAAGGACUAUGCGCACCCCGUCUUCGCCUACUCCCUGGCAUGGCCGCCCACGUUCCUCGCUCCAGAGGACUGA